rnacentral:rRNA from 1 species
UGAGGAAUAUUGGUCAAUGGGUGCAAGCCUGAACCAGCCAUCCCGCGUGAAGGACGACUGCCCUAUGGGUUGUAAACUUCUUUUGUAUAGGGAUAAACCUACCCUCGUGAGGGUAGCUGAAGGUACUAUACGAAUAAGCACCGGCUAACUCCGUGCCAGCAGCCGCGGUAAUACGGAGGGUGCAAGCGUUAUCCGGAUUUAUUGGGUUUAAAGGGUCCGUAGGCGGACUUAUAAGUCAGUGGUGAAAGCCUGUCGCUUAACGAUAGAUCUGCCAUUGAUACUGUAAGUCUUGAGUAUAUUUGAGGUAGCUGGAAUAAGUAGUGUAGCGGUGAAAUGCAUAGAUAUUACUUAGAACACCAAUUGCGAAGGCAGGUUACCAAGAUAUAACUGACGCUGAGGGACGAAAGCGUGGGGAGCGAACA